UUAAGUAGAGGCGCAAUGUUUAUCAGUAUGAAUCGUGAUGCAGCGGCUGCAGAUGACCGGUUCUGAAAGGGAACACUGCCGAAGCCCUGUACCGUAAGCUGCAGGUACACCGCUGGGAAUGCAGAGAAUAUCUGCAUUACUGUCAUCAUUUGAUGGAGUGCUGCUUGG
rnacentral:ncRNA from 1 species